CCUACGGGGUGCAGCAGUCGAGAAUCAUUCACAAUGGGGGAAACCCUGAUGGUGCGACGCCGCGUGGGGGAAUGAAGGUCUUCGGAUUGUAAACCCCUGUCAUGUGGGAGCAAAUUAAAAAGAUAGUACCACAAGAGGAAUAGACGGCUAACUCUGUGCCAGCAGCCGCGGUAAUACAGAGGUCUCAAGCGUUGUUCGGAAUCACUGGGCGUAAAGCGUGCGUAGGCUGUUUCGUAAGUCGUGUGUGAAAGGCGAGGGCUCAACCCGCGGACGGCACAUGAUACUGCGAGACUAGAGUAAUGGAGGGGGAACCGGAAUUCUCGGUGUAGCAGUGAAAUGCGUAGAUAUCGAGAGGAACACUCGUGGCGAAGGCGGGUUCCUGGACAUUAACUGACGCUGAGGCACGAAGGCCAGGGGAGCGAAAGGGAUUAGAUACCCGAGUAGUC
rnacentral:rRNA from 1 species